rnacentral:rRNA from 1 species
UACGUAGGGUGCGAGCGUUAUCCGGAAUCAUUGGGCGUAAAGAGCUCGUAGGCGGUUCAGCAAGUCGGCUGUGAAAGUCCGAGGCUCAACCUCGGAAUUGCAGUCGAUACUGCUGUGACUCGAGUCCGGUAGAGGAGAACGGAAUUCUCGGUGUAGCGGUGAAAUGCGCAGAUAUCGAGAGGAACACCAGUAGCGAAGGCGGUUCUCUGGGCCGGCACUGACGCUGAGGAGCGAAAGCGUGGGGAGCAAACAGGAUUAGAAACCCCCGUAGUCC